AUGUCAUCGUCGAGGUACCGUAGUCGCAACCGCCCAGCGCCAGCGGCCUUGGCUACGCGCAACAGCACGAGCCGACGGGGCAGGGUCUCCGAUGCCGACGCCGCCAUCACAAGGGACGCAUCCCCGUGGGCGUCGCUGCACCAGGAGCUGUUGGACCUGAUCGCGUGGCGGGUGCUGGCGGUCGACUUCCGGGGCUACGUCCGGUUCCGCGCCGUGUGCGCGUACUGGCGCUCCAGCACCGCCUGCCCGCGCGGCCGCGGCAUCGUCGACCUGCGCUUCCACCCACGGCAAUGGAUGAUGCUGCCCGAGGGCCACGGCCUCUACCCGGGCCACGAAAAGCUGCAGGGGUUCGUCCCCUUCUUCAACCUCUCAACGGGGGCGUUCGUCCGCGUCCACCUCCCGCUCUUGAGUGACCACUGCGUCCUCGACUCUAUCGACGGUAUCCUGCUGCUGCUGCGGGACCACGACACCGUCGUCCGCCUCCUCCACCCAUUCACGGGCGACAUCCUCGGCUUCCCGCCUCUCAAAACCCACCUGAGUUCUGUGAUCGGCUCGACAUCGUGGCACAAGUGGUGCAAUAUCAAAAAUAUCAAUGCUGCCGCCAUGAACGUGGGUGCGGAUGAAGUCGUCUCGCUCAUGAUUCUGGGGGCUUACGGUUGGAGUAAUGUGGCCUUUGCUACCUCCGGGCAACGGCAAUGGAGUGUAUCAAGCUCGCUCAACCGCCGAAGUUGUAGUCCAUUCUCGUUCCAAGGCAAGAUAUAUGCGGUGCGUUAUAACAGAAGUUUCACCGAAUCAGAGGUCCUACAGAUCGGCCCACCUCAGCUAGAAGGGGUGGAACCCUAUCUGCCACCACCAACCGUGAUUGCCAGAUGUCCGGCGAGCACACCCGACACCACUUAUUUGUACCGUCUGGUAGAAUGUGCCCAAGAGAUUCUGGUGGUCAGUAUAAGGCAUAAUUAUAAGAAAGUUCCAGUUUACAAACUAGCUGACCUUAUGCUGGGAAGAGCCGUCCCGACGACAUGCAUUGGUGGGAACGCCCUCUUCAUGGAAGGCAGGACGUUGUGCGUCAGUUCUAAGGCGUUUCCUACCAUCAUGGGUGACACCAUUGUCUUUCUCGAUUGUCGGAAACAUUAUCUUGCUCAAUACCACCUCGGCAGCGGCACAAUAUUGUCGCCAGCAAUAGAUAUAUCGAUGUAUGAAAUGUCAGGUCCUUGUAGCAUCAUUUGUCAUAUAUACACAUGUUGCUUUCGUAAAAGAUGGAACAAAGGAGAAAUAGCAUGUCGGGGGCAGGAGGACAAGUGGCAGGUGAAGGAAAAGUGA
rnacentral:rRNA from 1 species